UCUUCCCGGUGGGUGUACGCACUUAAACGGGGGCAAAUGCAUGUCCAAAGGUAGCUAAAUUACUGGACCAGUAAUUCUGGUUCAUACAUUAAAAAGUGAAAGGGCUGACGAGUCUCUAACUGUCUCUAUUUUCAAACUCGUUGGAAAUUUAGUUGGAAGUGCAAACGCUUUCAUGGGUGAGAAAGACGAGAAGACCCUAUGAAGUUUCGAGUGUAUUUUUGAGAGGGCAGAAGCCCUGUUUCUCAAGGAAUAGCUUUUGCUGGGGCAGCAGGAGAGCAGAAUGAGACUCGACCGCUGGAAUAAAAUACUGAUAAGUAAUGAUCCAUUAGAAAAAAAGAGACGAUCAGGAGAAGGAGUUACUCUAGGGAUAACAGCGUAAUUUCGCCCAUUGAGGCCUUAUCAUUGGGCAAGGUUGCGACCUCGAUGUUGGCUCUGGGUAUCCUUGGACUUGCAGGAGGUCCAAAUGGUUGGUUUGUUCGCCCAUUAAAACCCGACGUGAUCUGUUUC
rnacentral:rRNA from 1 species